GACGAACGCUGGCGGCGUGCCUAACACAUGCAAGUCGAACGAGGUCCAAGGAAGCUUGCUUCCUGAAGACCUAGUGGCGAACGGGUGAGUAACACGUGAGAAACCUGCCUCGGAGUGGGGAAUAACUCGGGGAAACUCGAGCUAAUACCGCAUACCUUCACAUGAUCGCAUGGUCGAGUGAAGAAAGAAUUUCGCUCUGAGAGGGUCUCGCGGCCUAUCAGCUUGUUGGUGGGUAACGGCCUACCAAGGCAACGACGGGUAGCUGGUUUGAGAGAACGAUCAGCCACACUGGGACUGAGACACGGCCCAGACUCCUACGGGAGGCAGCAGUGGGGAAUCUUGCGCAAUGGGCGAAAGCCUGACGCAGCAAACGCCGCGUGCGGGAUGACGGCCU
rnacentral:rRNA from 1 species